UGACCUAACUGUAUUACAGUUAUACGAAGGCCAUACGGACAGCCGGGUCAAAUGCCGA
rnacentral:sRNA from 1 species